rnacentral:rRNA from 1 species
GAUGAACGCUGGCGGCGUGCCUAAUACAUGCAAGUCGAGCGAACAGACGAGGAGCUUGCUCCUCUGACGUUAGCGGCGGACGGGUGAGUAACACGUGGAUAACCUACCUAUAAGACUGGGAUAACUUCGGGAAACCGGAGCUAAUACCGGAUAAUAUAUUGAACCGCAUGGUUCAAUAGUGAAAGACGGUUUUGCUGUCACUUAUAGAUGGAUCCGCGCCGCAUUAGCUAGUUGGUAAGGUAACGGCUUACCAAGGCAACGAUGCGUAGCCGACCUGAGAGGGUGAUCGGCCACACUAGAACUGAGACACGUUCCAGACUCCUACGGGAGGCAGCAGUAGGGAAUCUUCCGCAAUGGGCGAAAGCCUGACGGAGCAACGCCGCGUGAGUGAUGAAGGUCUUCGGAUCGUAAAACUCUGUUAUUAGGGAAGAACAAAUGUGUAAGUAACUAUGCACGUCUUGACGGUACCUAAUCAGAAAGCCACGGCUAACUACGUG